rnacentral:rRNA from 1 species
AGAGUUUGAUCAUGGCUCAGGACGAACGCUGGCGGCGUGCCUAACACAUGCAAGUCGCACGAGGACCAAGGUGCUUGCACCUUGUAGCCGAGUGGCGGACGGGUGAGUAACACGUGACCAACCUGUCUUCGGAAGGGGGACAACCUGGGGAAACCCGGGCUAAUACCGCAUAACGUCCAGUGGCCGCAUGGUCGUUGGAUAAAAGAGGGCCUCUACUUGUAAGCUCUUGUCCGGAGAGGGGGUCGCGGCGUGUCAGCUAGUUGGUGAGGUAACGGCUCACCAAGGCGACGACGCGUAGCGGGUCUGAGAGGACGACCCGUCACAUUGGGACUGAGAUACGGCCCAGACUCCUACGGGAGGCAGCAGUGGGGAAUAUUGCGCAAUGGACGAAAGUCUGACGCAGCGACGCCGCGUGUGGGAGGAAGCCCUUCGGGGUGUAAACCACUGUCAGGGGGGAAGAACCCCGGAAUUGGAAAUACUGAUUUCGGUUGACGGUACCCCCAGAGGAAGCGCCGGCUAACUCCGUGCCAGCAGCCGCGGUAAGACGGAGGGCGCAAGCGUUGUUCGGAAUUACUGGGCGUAAAGCGCACGCAGGCGGUCUUUUAAGUCCUUUGUGAAAGCCCGGGGCUCAACCCCGGAAUCGCGUAGGAUACUGGAAGACUGGAGACCAGUAGAGGCUAGCGGAAUUCCUGGUGUAGCGGUGGAAUGCGUAGAUAUCAGGAAGAACACCUGUGGCGAAGGCGGCUAGCUGGGCUGGAUCUGACGCUCAUGUGCGAAAGCGUGGGGAGCAAACAGGAUUAGAUACCCUAGUAGUCC